GUCCUGACAAAAAGUCCGCAAACAAACCGAGCGCUGUGCAAACACGUGGUUCGGCGGCCAGAAACUGCCUGGCUUUCCCGGGUCUCUCUUUCUCGCCUUUCCCCCAAGCCGGCGUGUUGGCGCGGCGGCUGGGCUGCGGGCGCCCGGGGCGUUGGCAUCCAGCGCCUCCUCCUCACAGGUAUCGAGAGUUCGCUAUUUGGAGCUCCUGGAAAGGAACCGGGCCUCUUGAAUUGAAGGCCACAGUUCUUCACUGCUGAUUUAUAGCCGAGUAUUUCCUACCAAUAUCCUGGCUGGGUUUGGAAUGCUUCCCUCAGCUGUGGAUUCACAUAUGAAUUGCAGAGACCUACAGCUUCUUCUCCGACAGAAGAAAACGUGGAAGCUGGCAAGAGAUUACAGGUAUCUUCAUCCAUCUUCAGAUCUGUCUCUGUUUUCAUUUGCCCAUCUGUCAAGGACUAAUUGGAUCUGCUUUUCCUCAUUUAGGCUAGAUCCUGCAUAGUCAAUAUUGCCUCUCGCACUUUCCUUCACCUUUUCAAAGGGUUUAUGCUUCCAACAUCAUGGUAUUCAGACUUCAACAGAUGGACUGAUUAUGAGUGCAUGUUAGUCCAAUAAGAAGAUAUUCAGACCACUUAAAUCUCCAGGGCUCAACAAAAAUGAGAGAGUUUUGGAUUAUUCAUCAUCAUUAAAAAGAAUAAGAGUAGACUUUGGUUUAGUCCUAAUAUGGCUUCUAUAUAUUGUAGAAACUCCUUUAUACUUUAUAUUAUUGAAAUAUAGUUUAUUCUAGUUGACAUAUGCCUACUUAAAACAGACCUCAAGAAGAGAUACAAUAGAACUGCCAUUUCAGUUAAAGCUCCAGGCGCUGUUGAUAUAAUUUGGAAAUUAAAACUUA